UACGUAGGGUGCGAGCGUUGUCCGGAAUUAUUGGGCGUAAAGGGCUCGUAGGCGGUUUGUCGCGUCGGGAGUGAAAACUCAGGGCUUAACCCUGAGCCUGCUUCCGAUACGGGCAGACUAGAGGUAUGCAGGGGAGAACGGAAUUCCUGGUGUAGCGGUGAAAUGCGCAGAUAUCAGGAGGAACACCGGUGGCGAAGGCGGAUCUCUGGGCCGAUACUGACGCUGAGGAGCGAAAGCGUGGGGAGCAAACAGG
rnacentral:rRNA from 1 species